rnacentral:rRNA from 1 species
UGGGGAAUAUUGGACAAUGGGCGCAAGCCUGAUCCAGCCAUGCCGCGUGAGUGAUGAAAGCCCUAGGGUUGUAAAGCUCUUUCACCGGUGAAGAUAAUGACGGUAACCGGAGAAGAAGCCCCGGCUAACUUCGUGCCAGCAGCCGCGGUAAUACGAAGGGGGCUAGCGUUGUUCGGAUUUACUGGGCGUAAAGCGCACGUAGGCGGACUUUUAAGUCAGGGGUGAAAUCCCGGGGCUCAACCCCGGAACUGCCUUUGAUACUGGAAGUCUUGAGUAUGGUAGAGGUGAGUGGAAUUCCGAGUGUAGAGGUGAAAUUCGUAGAUAUUCGGAGGAACACCAGUGGCGAAGGCGGCUCACUGGACCAUUACUGACGCUGAGGUGCGAAAGCGUGGGGAGCAAACAGG